rnacentral:rRNA from 1 species
UACGUAGGGUGCAAGCGUUAUCCGGAAUUAUUGGGCGUAAAGAGCUCGUAGGCGGUUUGUCGCGUCUGCUGUGAAAUCCCGAGGCUCAACCUCGGGCCUGCAGUGGGUACGGGCGGACUGGAGUGCGGUAGGGGAGAAUGGAAUUCCUGGUGUAGCGGUGGAAUGCGCAGAUAUCAGGAGGAACACCGAUGGCGAAGGCAGGUUCUCUGGGCCGUAACUGACGCUGGAGGAGCCGAAAGCGUGGGGAGCGAACAGG